rnacentral:hammerhead_ribozyme from 1 species
AUCCAGCUGGUGAGUCCCAAACAGGACGAGGCCCGUGUUCUGGAU